rnacentral:rRNA from 1 species
CCGCCUGCCCUGUGACUAUAUGUUUAACGGCCGCGGUAUCUUAACCGUGCGAAGGUAGCGUAAUCACUUGUCUUUUAAAUGAAGACCUGUAUGAAUGGCAUCACGAGGGCUUAACUGUCUCCCCUCUCCAGUCAAUGAAAUUGACCUCCCCGUGCAGAGGCGGGGAUAUCUUUAUAAGACGAGAAGACCCUGUGGAGCUUUAGACCUAAAAUAAACCACGUUUAAGAUACUAAAAUUAAUAGCAAAAACUUAGUGGACAAUUAUUAAAGUGUCUUUGGUUGGGGCGACCGCGGAGUAAAACACAACCUCCAUGUGGACGGGGAUACUAUCCCUAAAACUCAGAGCCUCCACUCCAAGCAACAGAAAUUCUGACCUAACUGAUCCGGUAUAACCGAUUAACGAACCCAGUUACCCCAGGGAUAACAGCGCAAUCCCCUCUCAGAGCUCAUAUCGACGAGGGGGUUUACGACCUCGAUGUUGGAUCAGGACAUCCUAGUGGUGCAGCCGCUAUUA